rnacentral:rRNA from 1 species
CCUCGGCGUCAGGAUGAACGCUGGCGGCGUGCUUAACACAUGCAAGUCGAACGAAGCACUCUAUUGAUUCUUCGGGAUUGAUAUUUGUGACUGAGUGGCGGACGGGUGAGUAACGCGUGGGUAACCUACCUGUACAGGGGGAUAACAGUUGGAAACGACUGCUAAUACCGCAUAAGCGCACAGCAUCGCAUGAUGCAGUGUGAAAAGCUCCGACGGUAUAAGAUGGACCCGCGUCUGAUUAGCUAGUUGGUGAGGUAACGGCCCACCAAGGCGACGAUCAGUAGCCGACCUGAGAGGGUGACCGGCCACAUUGGGACUGAGACACGGCCCAAACUCCUACGGGAGGCAGCAGUGGGGAAUAUUGCACAAUGGGCGAAAGCCUGAUGCAGCCGACGCCGCGUGAGCGAAGAAGUAUUUCGGUAUGUAAAGCCCUAUCAGCAGGGAAGAAAAAUGACGGUACCUGACUAAGAAGCACCGGCUAAAUACGUGCCAGCAGCAGC